CGAACGGGUGAGUAACGCGUGAGGAACCUGCCUCAAAGAGGGGGACAACAGUUGGAAACGACUGCUAAUACCGCAUAAGCCCACGGGUCGGCAUCGACCAGAGGGAAAAGGAGCAAUCCGCUUUGAGAUGGCCUUGCGUCCGAUUAGCUAGUUGGUGAGGUAAUGGCCCACCAAGGCAACGAUCGGUAGCCGGACUGAGAGGUUGAACGGCCACAUUGGGACUGAGACACGGCCCAG
rnacentral:rRNA from 1 species